rnacentral:rRNA from 1 species
CCUACGGGUGGCAGCAGUGAGGAAUAUUGGUCAAUGGACGAAAGUCUGAACCAGCCAAGUCGCGUGAAGGAUGACUGCCCCAUGGGUUGUAAACUUCUUUUAUAAAGGAAUAAAACGAGGCACGUGUGCCUUUUUGCGUGUACUUUAUGAAUAAGCAUCGGCUAACUCCGUGCCAGCAGCCGCGGUAAUACGGAGGAUCCGAGCGUUAUCCGGAUUUAUUGGGGUUAAAGGGAGCGUAGAUGGGUUGUUAAGUCAGGUGGGAAAGUUCGGGGCUCAACCCUAAAAUUGCAAUUGAGACUGGCAGUCUUGAGUUCAUGUGAGGGAGGCGGAAUUCGUAGUGUAGCGGUGAAAUGCGUAGAUAUUACGAAGAACCCCGAAUGCGAAGGCAGCUUA